CCUACGGGAGGCAGCAGUGGGGAAUAUUGCACAAUGGGCGAAAGCCUGAUGCAGCAACGCCGCGUGAAGGAAGAAGGUCUUCGGAUCGUAAACUUCUGUCCUUGGGGAAGAUAAUGCCUGUACCCUUGGAGGAAGCCCCGGCUAACUACGUGCCAGCAGCCGCGGUAAUACGGAGGGUGCAAGCGUUACUCGGAAUCACUGGGCGUAAAGAGCGCGUAGGCGGGAUAGCAAGUCAGAGGUGAAAUCCUAUGGCUUAACCAUAGAACUGCCUUUGAAACUGGUAUUCUGGGGUAUGGGAGAGGGAAGUGGAAGUCUUGGUGUAGGGGUAAAAUCCGUAGAGAUCAAGAGGAAAAAUCAUGGCGAAGGCGACCUGGUAGAACAUAACUGGCGCUGAUGGGCGAAAGCGUGGGGAGCAAACAGGAUUAGAUACCCCUGUAGUC
rnacentral:rRNA from 1 species